rnacentral:misc_RNA from 1 species
AACUUUUGACAACGGAUCUCUGGGCUCUUGCAUCGAUGAAGUACGCAGUGAAGUGCGAAAAGUAAUGCGAUUUGCAUGCUCUGUGAGUCAUCGAAUCUUUGAACGCAUAUGGCACCUGCCAGCCCUGCUGGAAGGUAUGCCUGUUUGAGAAUCACACUAUCACUGAUCCGAUUGCAUCCACUUGCAGUUGGUCGACAUGGGCCUUCAGCAUUGAUCGCCUCGAAUUGCUCGCGAUCGUCGUGGUAAACAAAGGAGUGUGGCAGCGAUGCGUGCCAUCCAGUGUUGUCGACGAUCAACCCGUGCUCGUGAUCUCAAAUCAGGCAAGGCUACCCGCUGAACUUAAGCAUAUCAAUAAGCGGAGGCU